GGACCCGCACAAGCAGUGGAGUAUGUGGUUUAAUUCGAAGCAACGCGAAGAACCUUACCAAGGCUUGACAUAUUACUGAAUACUGUGGAAACAUAGUAGGCCUUCGGGACAGUAAUACAGGUGGUGCAUGGUUGUCGUCAGCUCGUGUCGUGAGAUGUUGGGUUAAGUCCCGCAACGAGCGCAACCCUUGUCAUUAGUUGCCAGCAUUGAGUUGGGCACUCUAGUGAGACUGCCGGUGAGAAAUCGGAGGAAGGUGGGGACGACGUCAAAUCAUCAUGCCCCUUAUGUCUUGGGCUACACACGUACUACAAUGGCUAUUACAACAGGCAGCGAAGGAGUAAUCCGGAGCGAAUCCCCAAAGAUAGUCCCAGUUCGGAUUGUGGGCUGAAACCCGCCCACAUGAAGUCGGAAUUGCUAGUAAUUGCAGGUCAGCAUACUGCAGUGAAUACGUUCCCGGGUCUU
rnacentral:rRNA from 1 species